GUGUCAGCCGCCGCGGUAAUACGGAGGGUACAAGCGUUAAUCGGAAUUACUGGGCGUAAAGCGCGCGUAGGCGGUUAAGUAAGUUGGAUGUGAAAGCCCUGGGCUCAACCUAGGAACUGCAUUCAAAACUAUUUAACUAGAGUACGAGAGAGGAGAGUAGAAUUUCUGGUGUAGCGGUGAAAUGCGUAGAUAUCAGAAGGAAUACCAAUGGCGAAGGCAGCUCUCUGGAUCGUCACUGACGCUAAGGUGCGAAAGCGUGGGUAGCAAACAGGAUUAGAUACCCUGGUAGUCCACGCCGUAAACGAUGAGAACUAGCCGUUGGGGAGAAUUAACUCUCCAGUGGCGCAGCUAACGCAUUAAGUUCUCCGCCUGGGGACUACGGCCGCAAGGCUAAAACUCAAAUGAAUUGACGGGGGCCCGCACAAGCGGUGGAUCAUGUGGUUUAAUUCGAUGCAACGCGAAGAACCUUACCUACCCUUGAAAUCCAGCGAAGUUCCUAGAGAUAGGAAUGUGCCUUCGGGAACGCUGUGACAGGUGUUGCAUGGCUGUCGUCAGCUCGUGUCGUGAGAUGUAUGGUUAAGUCCAGUAACGAGCGCAACCCCUAUCCUUAUUUGCCAGCGCAUAAUGGCGGGAACUAUAAGGAGACUGCCGGUCAUAAACCGGAGGAAGGCGGGGACGACGUCAAGUCAUCAUGGCCCUUAUGGGUAGGGCUACACACGUGAUACAAUGGGUGGUACAGAGGGUCGCCAAAGCGCGAGCUGGAGCCAAACCCUUAAAACCAUUCUUAGUCCGGAUUGGAGUCUGCAACUCGACUCCAUGAAGUUGGAAUCGCUAGUAAUCGCGAAUCAGAAUGUCGCGGUGAAUACGUUCUCGGGCCUUGUACACGACCGCCCGUC
rnacentral:rRNA from 1 species